rnacentral:rRNA from 1 species
UACGGAGGGUGCAAACGUUGCUCGGAAUCAUUGGGCGUAAAGCGCACGUAGGUGGCCUGUUAAGUCGGGUGUGAAAUCCCCUGGGCUCAACCCAGGAAGUGCACUCGAAACUGGCGGGCUUGAGUACUGAAGAGGGUCGCGGAAUUCCCGGUGUAGAGGUGAAAUUCGUAGAUAUCGGGAGGAACACCGGAGGCGAAGGCGGCGACCUGGGUCGAUACUGACGCUGAGGCGCGAAAGCGUGGGGAGCAAACAGG